GGGUUUGCUGACUGCCUGUCUGAAAAACCCUAUGAUUUAUUUUUCCUAGCAUUUUUAAUCAACGCUCCGCCGUAUACAUUGUGAGACCGUCUAUGACUUAUUCAUUAUUAUAACAAGGUAAAGUUAAGUGUGUACACAUCUGUUAAAGACAAGUGAAAAUAGAAAUGUUUAAAGACAACUUACAUAUAAGAAGAACAAUUCUGAAAGAGGUGGUGUUCAAAUAUAUUUAUUAUUCAAUGUCUCUGACCAUGUUACAUGUUGCAAGAUCUUCAAUUCACUCACAUUAGAAUUAAUUAAUAAUAUGGAAUAAGGGCAGAUAUGUCUAAGCAUUCAUAUAUCUGAUUUUAUACACUUGUAUAAAAUGUACUAUGAAAUUAAGACCAUUGUUAAAUUGAUAUAAACAUGGCUUAAGAAUGUGUUCAAAAAUACAGAUAACACUUCUGUGUCGGAAUAAUCUUACUUUAUAGUGACUUUGUUUUUUUAAAUAAAUGUC
rnacentral:sRNA from 1 species